rnacentral:rRNA from 1 species
AUGGACUUACAGGUCCCCAAGAUUAUCGGCGGCCACCACGGUGGCUGGGUCGCCUUGUCAGUGUCAGGUCUCGUCAGGAUCGUGAACCUUUUAUCUGGCGCCGAGGUGGCGCUCGACGAGAAGAAGGCGACGAUAGUCUGCCCGAGCCCACACCAUGCCCGGGGCAAGCAGGUGGUCAUCUUGAGAGUUGUCUUCUCCGUGCCGCCCACGUCGCCCAAAUGUAUCCUUGCCGCCGUGACACAAAAUUGUGGCAUCGCGCUCUGCAGACUUGGUCGUCCGAACAAUGGCUGGACGACACAAGGAUGUCACCAGUAUUAUAACAGAGAGCUUGUCGAUAUCACAUUUUGCAACGGUGAGCUCUAUGGCCUAUAUAAAAAGAGGAAACUCGUAAGGUUUAUGAUUGGUGUGGAUAAGGAUCGUGCCCCAAUGGUAACCGCGAAACACGAGCUGGACAUGCAAUGGAUCAACCGCACCAUCCCUAAGGACGACUGCUGGGACAAUACUAGUUACAUCUUCAAGCUAGAGGGCAAGCUUGCGAUGGCGUUGAAGACCCGGUGGUUGCCAAACAUCCAGCCUUUCUUCAAGGUGUUCAAGCUUGUUGACAUCUGCACGGGCAAGUGCAAGACACAUUCCAGGUACAACUGGCUCGAGGUCACAAGCUUGGAUGACCAUGCAUUAUUUCUGGGGAAGUCAUUCUCUAAGGCGGUGCAUGUGUCAUCGAAAAAUUGCGGCGGCGUGGAGAGAAACCGUAUCUAUUACACGCAUCAUUGUUGGUUAGGUCUAAACACCGCCAUCCCUAGUGACAAGGUAUUCUUGAAAAUCUCAAACGACAGCAGCAGCAUGACGUGCUACAAGGAAGACGACUCAAAGAACACCAUCACCUACAAUGACAAUGACGUGAAGAGGAUCAUGUCAGUAGGUUACUUCGUGCAAGGUGGUUUAGAUGGUGGCAUGUGGAUUCUACCUCCAUAUAUCUAG